UAACGCGUAUGCAACCUGCCUCUAACUGGGGCAUAGCCCGAAGAAAUUCGGAUUAAUUUCCCAUAUUAUUCAAUGAUCGCAUGAUGAUUGAAUGAAAGCUCCGGCGGUUAGAGAUGGGCAUGCGGGUCAUUAGCUUGUUGGUGAGGUAACGGCUCACCAAUGCUGCGAUGACUAGGGGGCCUGAGAGGGUGAUCCCCCACACUGGUACUGAGACACGGACCAGACUUCUACGGAAGGCAGCAGUGAGGAAUAUUGGGCAAUGGAGGCAACUCUGACCCAGCCAUGCCGCGUGCAGGAUGACGGCCCUAUGGGUUGUAAACUGCUUUUCUGAGAGAAGAAUCCCCCCGAAUUUUCGGGGGUUGCCGGUAUCUCAGGAAUAAGCAUCGGCUAACUCCGUGCCAGCAGCCGCGGUAAUACGGAGGAUGCAAGCGUUAUCCGGAUUCAUUGGGUUUAAAGGGUGCGUAGGCGGGAAAGUAAGUCAGUGGUGAAAGCCUGCAGCUCAACUGUGGAACUGCCAUUGAUACUGCUUUUCUUGAGUUUGGUUGAGGUAGGCGGAAUGUGUAAUGUAGCGGUGAAAUGCUUAGAUAUUACACAGAACACCGAUUGCGAAGGCAGCUUACUAAACCGAUACUGACGCUGAUGCACGAAAGCGUGGGGAGCGAACAGGAUUAGAUACCCUGGUAGUCCACGCUGUAAACUAUGAUCACUCGCUGUUGGCAAUACAUCGUCAUCGGCUGAGCGAAAGCAUUAAGUGAUCCACCUGGGGAGUACGGUCGCAAGAUUGAAACUCAAAGGAAUUGACGGGGGCCCGCACAAGCGGUGGAACAUGUGGUUUAAUUCGAUGAUACGCGAGGAACCUUACCUGGGCUUAAAUGUAGACUGCAUUUCCGGGAAACCGGAAUUUCCUUCGGGACCGUCUACAAGGUGCUGCAUGGUUGUCGUCAGCUCGUGCCGUGAGGUGUCGGGUUAAGUCCCAUAACGAGCGCAACCCCUAUCGUUAGUUGCCAGCGAGUAAUGUCGGGGACUCUAGCGAAACUGCCGGUGUAAACCGAGAGGAAGGUGGGGAUGACGUCANAUCAGCACGGCCCUUAUGUCCAGGGCUACACACGUGUACCAAUGGUCAGUACAAAGGGCAGCUACCUGGUGACAGGAUGCUA
rnacentral:rRNA from 1 species